rnacentral:tRNA from 1 species
GGAGAGGUGACAGAGUGGUUGAAUGUGACGGUCUCGAAAACCGUUGUGGUAGCAAUAUCACCGAGGGUUCGAAUCCCUCCCUCUCCG